rnacentral:rRNA from 1 species
CAUAUGCUUGUCUCAAAGAUUAAGCCAUGCAUGUCUGAGUACAGACCGAUCUAAGGUGAAACCGCGAAUGGCUCAUUAAAUCAGUCGUAAUUUCUUGGAUAGUGAAAAACUUUCCUCGGAUAACUGUGGAAAAUCCAGAGCUAAUACGUGCAACUGAGCUCCGACCUCGGCGCGAGCCUUGGGAAGAGCGCAUUUAUUAGAUUCAAAACUGACCGGUGUACUCCUCCGGGAUACGCCGAUUGUCAAAUGUUUGAUGACUCCGGAUAACUUAGCCGAGCGCUCCGGUCUUUAGUACCGGCGCCGUAUCUUUCAAGUGUCUGCCUUAUCAGCUUUCGAUUGUAGGUUAAACGCCUACAAUGGCUGUAACGGGUAACGGGGAAUCAGGGUUCGAUUCCGGAGAGGGAGCCUGAGAAACGGCUACCACAUCUAAGGAAGGCAGCAGGCACGCAAAUUACCCACUCCCAGCCCGGGGAGGUAGUGACGAAAAAUAACGAUGCGAGACUCUUCCGAGGCCUCGCAAUCGGAAUGAGUCCAUCUUAAAAUUUUGGACGAGGAUCCAUUGGAGGGCAAGUCUGGUGCCAGCAGCCGCGGUAAUUCCAGCUCCAAUAGCGUAUAUUAAAGUUGCUGCGGUUAAAAAGCUCGUAGUUGGACUUUCUAGAUCCAAUUCGUGGGCGAGUCGCUCGUCGCGCUAGGGUUUCGCGCAGUCACUCGAAAACGCUGCCUUAGUAUCGGCGGUCGCUCUCUGUAUAUCCGUGAAGUCGUGCGUUCGUAUCUAUUCGUAGGUCGAUCGUCGAUGAUCGGGUCGUAUAGGGUGUCGUUCCGUCUUUGUCGAGGUUUUAAGCGCGAUCUUGCGGACGGCGAUUCUCUGUCUUCGGGUAUAGCUCGUCCGUGUUUGGUACAAUUAAAAUUUUGUCGGCUCGCUCGGAGUGCUCUUUACCGAGUGUUCCAGGGUGGCCGACACGUUCACUUUGAAAAAAUUAGAGUGCUUAAAGCGGGCUUUAACACGGCCUGAAUGUCUGUGCAUGGAAUGAAGUAACAGGACCUCGAUUCUGUUCUUUUUGUCGGUUUUAAUGAACCGAGGUAAUGAUUAAAAGGGACAGACGGUGGCAUUAGUAUUGCGGCGCUAGAGGUGAAAUUCUUGGACCGUCGCAAGACUAACUACUGCGAAAGCAUUUGCCGAGAAUGUUUUCAUUAAUCAAGAACGAAAGUUAGAGGAUCGAAGGCGAUCAGAUACCGCCCUAGUUCUAACCCUAAACUAUGCUAACUAGCGAUCCGCCGAAGUCAUUCCCACGACUCGGCGGGAAGCCCCAGGGAAACCAAAGUCUUUGAGUUCCGGGGGAAGUAUGGUUGCAAAGCUGAAACUUAAAGGAAUUGACGGAAGGGCACCACCAGGAGUGGACGUGCGGCUUAAUUUGACUCAACACGGGAAACCUCACCAGGCCCGGACAUCAUAAGGAUUGACAGAUUGAGAGCUCUUUCUCGAUUUGAUGGGUGGUGGUGCAUGGCCGUUCUUAGUUGGUGGAGUGAUCUGUCUGGUUGAUUCCGAUAACGAACGAGACUCUACCCUACUAACUAGUCGGCGGAUCGUAACCCUGAGAUGGUUAGUUUGUAUAGGGGAGUAUCGCCGAAGCAAAGUUUCCUUAGACGGGUCUUCUUUUGGUCGGGGAUUCCAUUUCGGUGGUUUUCUCUCUAUUAGGAGCUUCCCUUGAGGAAUACGAUGUCCAAGCUGCUUUCCGAUUACUGCUACUACUGGGGGCGUCCGUCGCAAUGUAUCUUCUUAGAGGGAUCAGCGGCGUCUAGCCGCACGAGAAAGAGCAAUAACAGGUCUGUGAUGCCCUUAGAUGUUCUGGGCCGCACGCGCGCUACAAUGUAGGGCUCAGCGUGCUUUCCCUCUCCGAAAGGAGCGGGUAACCCGUUGAAACCCCUACCCGAUUGGGAUUGGGGAUUGCAAAUAUUUCCCAUGAACGAGGAAUUCCCAGUAAGCGCGAAUCAUUAAUUCGCGCUGAUUACGUCCCUGCCCUUUGUACACACCGCCCGUCGCUACUACCGAUUGAAUGAUUCAGUGAGGGCAUCGGACUGGCGCCUUCGGUUUAGUAACAUAGACCUUAGGCUGACGGAAAGAUGUCCGAACUUGAUCAUUUAGAGGAAGUAAAAGUCGUAACAAGGUUUCCUAG